rnacentral:tRNA from 20 species
GCACCCGUAGCUCAGCUGGAUAGAGCGCUGCCCUCCGGAGGCAGAGGUCAGAGGUUCGAAUCCUCUCGGGUGCGCCA